CUAUGUUGAAUCAGGCCAAAAGAGAAGAACAUAGGAAUGGAAGUGAUUGAGAACAAAGUUGACGGGGAAAAAAAUUGCUAUUGAAGACUUUCAUGUUUGCUGAAAUGUUUCGAUUUUCUUCUGGCAGCAAAACCAAAUAAAAUGGUUGGGUUUAUUGUUAUUGAAUUAUAUCUCUCUGCAUUCUAAUAUUGCUUCAUGGGUGUUGAAGGCAAAAUUCCUUUCCUCAUAUAUGAAUAGAGAAAAAAAAUCAACAGAAUUGCAAGACUUUAAAAGAAAAAUGGUGCAAGAUUUACAUAUGGGAAAACCUGAUACUUCAAUUAGAUUUUAAGAUGUCAAAAUAAAAAUUAUGGGAAACUGGCUUUUUGUACGAAAUUUUUGAACUUGCUUAGAUUAUUUUACAGUUGCAUUUAUGUUCAAGAGAACGGAAGCUACCAUUAUUUCUCACAGAGAAAAGAAUCAGGAAUGGAUUGGAAUGGAAAAAAGAGACCAACAGGAGUUGAAAAUUACAUAAAUUUAAAUGAUAAUUGAGCAUGCUUGCUAGUAUAACUAGGUUAACCAAAGUUAUAAUAUCAUAACCGCUUAAAUCCAAGAAAACAUUAUCUUCAUCUAGAGAUAAUUUAUGAAAUGUAGCUUCAGUUUUAAUUUCUUUGUGCAAAUGUGUUCUUGCCUAGGUUAAAUAAAAAGCUAUUUCUCAUUUCUCCAACUUACGUAUCCACUUCAAACAUCACUUUUAUGAACUUGGACAAUAGAAAUAAAAUCAAGAUCAGUGACCAGAGUAGAUAAAAUGUGGCUGAGUAAUGGACAGCAAGAUUCUUUCUGCUGUAACAAUGAGUAAUUUAAGCAAUCCUAUUGAUUCCCUUGCUCAGAAAGCUGGCAGAUUCUCAGCCUGCACAAAUGAACAGCCAAGAUAAUGUCUCUGUUUAUUUUAAUAAGUUAUUUUAUUUGCAAUAAUCACUAUCAAUUUUAGCAAUGUUUUCUGGUAAUCUAUAUGAACAGAAAUUGAACUUGAGCCUGCACUUCUAAACCUCCAUCUUUUACUCUAUAUAGAUAGCAGUGCAGACCCCAGUUGCGGCAUUAGUUUUUAAAUUUGCAUCUGUCCAUUGACAACGUUUGUUUUUUCCCACACUGGAUUUUGGCACAAAGAGCAGAGUGCCUAGAUUUUUUAAUUGCAAGUCUGAAAUUGCUGUGGUUGCUAAAUGUAGACAUUUUUCCUCAUUAGAAAACUUCUUCUGAACCCAAAUGAGAAAUAAAUAAAUAAAUAAAAAUUCCCCUGAACCAAAACAAAAAACCAAAUCCUGAUAAUUUUCUUGAUCAAUUAACUUAAUAAAGCGAAAAA
rnacentral:lncRNA from 1 species